ensembl:lncRNA
GCCUGAAUAUGCCUGGGGUGGGCAUGUGAGCAGCUGAACGCAGUUGAAAUCGCCUCUUCAGACAAGCACAAUUUGCACCUGAAGAGGAAGAGAUAGUUAAAGCCACAGCAGUGGUGCAUGUAACAGGCUCCUUAAACUCUCUGUGCUGAGAUCAACCAGUCACAGAGCAAAUUCAAGAGAAAAGAAACAUUUGCUGUUUCUCUACUCAUCUGCUGAUAUAAAGGCUGCAGAAUCUGGCUUUAACAUUGCAGCAAAGCCAAGGAGAGACUCACCUCUGCAAAAUCAGAAGGUCCAGCUGAUUUCACCAGGCUCCAUAUGGGCAGCCACUGAGCCACAUACCUUCAGUCCUGGAAGGAUUCUCUCCCAGACAUGCAGAAAAAGCAGAGUAAACGAAGAAGCAAGAGAUCAUCGUUUCUGGAGGAGAAACAGCAUGAAACCAAUCUGGCUGCAACAUGAAGAUCUCUGGGGACCUGUGCUUUCAUUGCUUUGCAGACAUUGACACUGGCACAAUUUCGCAAAACAUCUAAGGUUCCUGGUGUGCAGAGUAGAUUUCUUUCACUGCUGUAGAGAACAAGGGGUGUGCCCACUGCUAACGCAAGAAUUUGCUGAAGAGUUGUAGAGCUUUUCCUCUGUAAACUCUUCACUCAACCUGUCAACCCUUUCCUGAAGGUUUCCUUUGGCAAUGCAUUUAAAAACCGCUUGGAUCUCAAGAGCUUCAAAUGUAGAGGAUGUAAACUAUGGUCCAGAAGUCUGAAACAGAACAAGAUGCUGCAUUAUCCAGUGACCUGGAAUAACAGCAAAAUGGGCUCAGAAAAGCUUGCAGGGGUCAGGCAGUCCAUGGCCUGCCUUGCAGAAAGCUCAGAUCUACCCAGGAUAUAACUGACAAGUGCUGGUCUGCCUUGUUCUUAAAAAAAUCUCCCGUGGAGAGAUUCUGCUACCUCGUGAAGCAUACUGUUCUGGUAAGUACUUGUCCACAGCUGCCUGUUGAUUUGUAACAGCUCUGAGAAGAUGGACAAGUCUCAACCUAGAAUCCCCUACUUGGCUAUUCUGCUGCUGUUAAAAAAUACGGUUUUGGUCUGCACCAGAAUAUUCAUUUUUGAAGGUCUAUAACAUGGGGAAGACUGGAGCUCUUCACGUUUCAAGCACAUUCUCCAACUUUGGCAGCAAAAUGAGGAGGGUCCCUCAGUGAUCCUGAGCUCAAAAACAAGGCAAACUUAUGGAAACUGAAAUUUCAGCAAACACCAGCCAAGCUCAGACUUCUAGGCUAGUUAGGCAGCUGGCUGCACAGCAAGGAGUCUGUCAGCCCUAUGAAAUACAUUUCUAAGCACUACUAUGGGCAGCAUCGGCAGGGAGGUGGAAGGGCAGACAAAUUUCCCUUGAAAGGUUAAAUUAAACCCACGUGUCCCUGAUAAAUAUGCAAAUUACUGAAUUGGCACAUUCCUAUAGGGAAAGAAAGAGUCCAGUCAAUGAUUGCUAACCGUCCUUUCAGAACCUUCCCUCCUUCCACAAUGUUAUUAUCAAAUAUGCU